rnacentral:lncRNA from 1 species
AUGUCAAGUCCUGACUUACACAUCAAGAGGGUGAGGGUUGCCAAUCAAGGACUUAUCCAAGUUCAAUGCAGUUUAAGAAUCUUGGCUUUGAUGGUAAAGUGGAUUAACUUUUCCAUGUAUCUUCAAGCCCCAGUAUCCCAAGAAAUGUUUGCCAUCACAAUGAAAGCUACGGGGGAGGAGGUUGCAGGGACGGCUGGUGCGAGCUCCGUGGGCCCUUUUCCAGAACCCGGGUCCCACCGCAUAGUUCCACUUUCUGGCACGGGGCCACUUUCCAGCUGAGCCCCUUUCGUCUCCAGGUCCUCGCCACGCACUGGAGGGCACCCACCUCCCUUCUACUCCCAACCCCCGGGCAGACGAGCCCAAGAAGGACCAUGCGAGGCCAGGCCAAAUGCCCGCACUGGCGCUCGGGGACUACAGCAGGGCUCCUGCGUGCGUAUGACGGACCCGAGCUGGAUGAGUCACGCGGAUAAUCGCGCUCUUCUCCAGUGCGCAGACUGCGCGGCAAGCGCGCACCGGAGCGGGGGUGGGGUUGCGGUACCGUCCCUCUCUCCCCUACCGACCCCUCUUGGCCGCGAGCUUCGAACUCAAGGAGCUACCCGUGGCGACGCCGACUGUCCCAGUCGCCCGGCGACCGGACCUGCGCCCCGUACCCAAAUCCCCGCUCCCGGCCCGCUGCCUGCACCGCCGCCGGCGUCAGCGCGGCUCC